UUCCAGACUCCUACGGGAGGCAGCAGUAGGGAAUUUUGCGCAAUGGGCGAAAGCCUGACGCAGCAACGCCGCGUGAUCGAGACGCCCUUCGGGGUGUAAAGAUCUGUCAGUGGAGACGAAACUUGACGGUACCCACAGAGGAAGCACCGGCUAACUCCGUGCCAGCAGCCGCGGUAAUACGGAGGAUGCGAGCGUUAUCCGGAUUUAUUGGGUUUAAAGGGUGCGUAGGCGGAAUGCCAAGUCAGCGGUAAAAUCGGGGGGCUCAACCUCGCUCCGCCGUUGAAACUGGCGUUCUUGAGUGGGCGAGAAGUAUGCGGAAUGCGUGGUGUAGCGGUGAAAUGCAUAGAUAUCACGCAGAACUCCGAUUGCGAAGGCAGCAUACCGGCGCCCAACUGACGCUGAAGCACGAAAGCGUGGGUAUCGAACAGGAUUAGAUACCCGUGUAC
rnacentral:rRNA from 1 species